UGCUCCCGUACGCACUCGUCUACCGCGCUCAUCCCGUGCCAAUAACUAUUGCUAUAUUUGUUCUCACUCAAAAGCGCACGAAUGAUGUUUUACGAUUUUUUUCCGGUCGUUAUUAGUUCACUCGAGUCGUUCUUUUGUUUUGCGUCCCGCGCGGUAAUGUAAGACACUUCGGGCAGAAUGCUAUUGUUUAGUAGUUGAAAAUUAUAACACACGGGGCUGCGUGUAAAUGGACGCCGUGCUCGGUGCCGCGGUGCUAACGACGACAACAUGAGCAACACGACGGGCACCGGUUCGUACCUGGUGCAGCUCGAAGAGGAUGCGAACGAGACGAUGGAGAGUUACCUGUUGAGGACCCGCGGGCCCAAGCAUCUGUCGCUGAACAUAGUCGUGCCCAUCACCGCCAUUUACGUGUUCAUCUUCGUCACAGGCGUGAUCGGAAACAUAGCCGUCUGCGUGGUGAUCGUCCGCAACAACUUCAUGCACACGGCCACUAACUACUACCUGUUCAGCUUGGCCGUGUCCGAUCUCACACUAUUGCUACUAGGAUUACCAAAUGAUCUCAGCGUAUAUUGGCAACAGUACCCGUGGCCUUUGGGUGAAGUGCUUUGUAAAUUCCGUGCUUUAGUUUCAGAAAUGACUUCGUAUACGUCGGUGUUGACCAUCGUGGCUUUUUCAAUGGAAAGGUAUUUAGCCAUUUGUCAUCCUCUACACUCGUACGCCAUGUCCGGGUUAAAAAGAGCCGUCCGCAUUAUCGCAGUCGUAUGGGUCUUUUCAUUUUUGGCCGCUCUACCGUUCGCCAUGUUCACCACGGUCGAUUACGUAGAUUUCCCACCAGGGUCAGGAUAUCCGUUGUACGAGAGCGCAUUUUGCGCGAUGCUGGAUAAGAACGUACCGACGGGAGUGCCUAUAUACGAGCUGAGUUCACUGUUAUUCUUUCUCGUCCCGAUGGUGAUAAUCAUAAUACUGUAUGUGCUUAUUGGACUGCAAAUUAGACAAAGUUCCAGACACUCUUUGGGCAAACAGAUGCAAGGUGCCGUGCACGGAGAAACCAAACAGAUCCAAUCUAAAAGGUCAAUAGUGAGGAUGCUAGCGGCCGUCGUCAUAGCGUUCUUCCUGUGCUGGGCCCCGUUCCACGCGCAGCGGCUGCUCUACCUGUACGCCAAGGACGCUCCGUACUACCCGCAGGUGAACGAGCUACUGUACACGAUCGCGGGCUGCUUCUACUACUUCUCGUCUACGGUCAACCCGAUCCUGUACAACCUGAUGUCGAUGAAGUACCGGCGGGCGUUCCGGGAGACGCUGUGCGGGUACUCGGGACAGCGCAGGAACCGGAUGUCGCGGGACCUGCAGUCCAGCUUCCGGGACACGACCGUGCCGCUGAACACGAUGACCAGCACCACGGAGUUCCGAAAGUCGGUGCACAGGUCCACGCGACACCUGCAGCAGGAGGAUUACUCGACCGCCGGCCCCGUGCCCACCAUCACCGCCACCGCCAGCGCCAACGCCGCGACCCAAGACGACGAACGUUCGUCGUCCGCGGCCGACGUGCUGGUGAUGAUCUCGCCGGCCAACGGGAACGCGCAGUGCUACAAAACGCUGCUCAGAGUUACCGUGGGUUCGAAACAGGCCGCGUCCAAGAACUCGAAUAGCUACGAGGCUCAAACCGCGCCGAGCCCACACUGUAAUGAAAUCGAAACUUGUAUUUAACGCGCGUUCGGCCGUACGAAGAAUGCACAUUAGCGGAUUAACGCAGCGAUACACUUACAAUCACUUUUCACUUUUCAACCGACCAUGACGCGCCCGUUGAACGAAUAAAUUGUAAGCUUGUAAUCUUGUAUAAGUUACCAAUUACUAUUUACGAGUUUAUUUACAAUUAUUCUUUUAAUCUAUGGACUAAGAUUACCGUUCAAUUUGAAUCAAACUUGAAAAGUAUUUAAAAUUCAGAACUAAUUAACCGAUUUUGAUGAAAUUUGGUACAGAGAUAUAAUAGACCUUGAAGAAGGACAUAGGCUACCUUUUGUCGCGAAAAAAAAGGUAAGUUUCAGUACACCUGAUAAUGCCCGGACGAGCAAUUGUUGUUUCGUUCUUGUUACAAAAACCAAAAAAACGAAAAGGAACCUCACUCUCAUAUACCUGAGUGUGCACCCAGAAGACGGUGAACAAGUUUAUUUUACUGAAAAUAAUUACCAAGAGUGACUAUCUUCUCCUCUAAGUACAAUACGAUAAAAAUACAUAAUAAUUCAAAA